rnacentral:rRNA from 1 species
AGCGAACGCUGGCGGCAGGCUUAACACAUGCAAGUCGAGCGGGCAUCCUCGUGGUGUCAGCGGCAGACGGGUGAGUAACGCGUGGGAACGUGCCCUUCGGUUCGGAGUAACUCAGGGAAACUUGAGCUAAUACCGGAUACACCCUUUUGGGGAAAGGUUUAUCUGCCGAAGGAUCGGCCCGCGUCUGAUUAGCUUGUUGGUGAGGUUACGGCUCACCAAGGCGACGAUCAGUAGCUGGUCCGAGAGGAUGAUCAGCCACACUGGGACUGAGACACGGCCCAGACUCCUACGGGAGGCAGCAGUGGGGAAUAUUGGACAAUGGGGGCAACCCUGAUCCAGCCAUGCCGCGUGAGUGAUGACGGCCUUAGGGUUGUAAAGCUCUUUUCUCCGGGACGAUAAUGACGGUACCGGAGGAAUAAGCCCCGGCUAACUUCGUGCCAGCCGCCGCGGUAAAAC